rnacentral:rRNA from 2 species
UACGUAGGGGGCAAGCGUUGUCCGGAAUUAUUGGGCGUAAAGGGCGCGUAGGCGGAUAGUUAAGUCCGGUGUGAAAGAUCAGGGCUCAACCCUGAGAGUGCAUCGGAAACUGGUUAUCUUGAGGACAGGAGAGGAAAGUGGAAUUCCACGUGUAGCGGUGAAAUGCGUAGAUAUGUGGAGGAACACCAGUGGCGAAGGCGACUUUCUGGACUGUAACUGACGCUGAGGCGCGAAAGCGUGGGGAGCAAACAGG